rnacentral:rRNA from 1 species
CCUACGGGCGGCAGCAGUGGGGAAUAUUGGACAAUGGGGGCAACCCUGAUCCAGCCAUGCCGCGUGUGUGAAGAAGGCCCUCGGGUUGUAAAGCACUUUCAGUGAGGAAGAACGCCUGGUGGUUAAUACCCAUCAGGAAAGACAUCACUCACAGAAGAAGCACCGGCUAACUCCGUGCCAGCAGCCGCAGGUAAUACGGAGGGUGCGAGCGUUAAUCGGAAUUACUGGGCGUAAAGCGCGCGUAGGUGGCUUGAUAAGCCGGUUGUGAAAGCCCCGGGCUCAACCUGGGAACGGCAUCCGGAACUGUCAAGCUAGAGUGCAGGAGAGGAAGGUAGUAUUCCCGGUGUAGCGGUGAAAUGCGUAGAGAUCGGGAGGAAUACCAGUGGCGAAGGCGGCCUUCUGGACUGACACUGACACUGAGGUGCGAAAGCGUGGGUAGCAAACAGGAUUAGAUACCCCUGUAGUC